rnacentral:rRNA from 1 species
UACGUAGGGUGCAAGCGUUGUCCGGAAUUAUUGGGCGUAAAGAGCUUGUAGGCGGUUUGUCGCGUCUGCCUGUGAAAUUUCGGGGGCUCAACCCCGAACUUGCAGUGGGUACGGGCAGACUAGAGUGUGGUAGGGGAGACUGGAAUUCCUGGUGUAGCGGUGAAAUGCGCAGAUAUCAGGAGGAACACCGGUGGCGAAGGCGGGUCUCUGGGCCAUAACUGACGCUGAGGAGCGAAAGCGUGGGGAGCGAACAGG